AAGUAAACAAAGUCUUUCGAAGCAUUCCACAGACUAGACGUAGGCAAAGGACCUUUAAAGAAGUAAACUGUGGAUAGUAUCCUGUCUGUGUUGCAUAUUAUGCUUGCCUGAGCAUCUAUGUGUGUUGUGCGUGAGCGAAGAAUCGACGCACCGCGAAUUGCAUUUCAUGGCCCUACGACGGAAGCGGAACGCGAAGUAAAGCGCGAUGACCAUCGCUGCGUAUACGCAAUGGCACGUGCGCGCAAAUAUACAUGUGUAUAUAUCUCUCACUGACUGCUGCCAAUGCUGCUGCUGCUGGUGCUGUUGAUGCUGCUGCUGCCGCUGUCGCGCGCCCACUUCCUCUCAAUAUACGAAAGCGAAUGAGAACGUAACUACGACAACGACAACGACGUAGCAAUGCCGCAGACGGUUAACAGACGAAUGAACUGCCGAAUUUGUGUGAGCGUCGCACGAAGCCCGAGACAGCGCCAGCCGCGCUCAGAAUGUGCACGGAAUCAAGCGAAUUGAGUGCCGAGCUGCGCCGCAACGCCGACGCCGCCAUCAAUGAGAGUCGCUCAGAGUGGUGCGCAGAUUGCACUCAAAGCGUUUGCUCAGUCACUCAGUCACUGCCUGCUGCUCUGUUAAAAGCUAACAGCGCUCGGCGUGUAAAUGACUUUCAUUUACAGUCUGUGUUGGCUGUGCUGUUACGCAUACGAGGCGUGGGCCGAUAGCAGCAGGGCCCAGUGCGGAUUGGGUAGCAACUUUUUUAUGGUAUCGUUGCCAAAUAUUAUCAGACAAAUAAGCCUUCUGUCUAAGCUAUUAAAUACAUGGCAAAUUUGGCUGUCAACAGGCGGAAAACAGAAAAACUUUUCACAACAAGCCCCUUAUAAACGACGCACAAAGUAAAUUCCAAUUAAAAUUUCAACGUAAAUGCCACAAAAUGUAAAUUAUGCGUAAUGAAGUCGUCGGUGUUGGCAGCGUUUUUCCUGUCGUGGUUGCGGUGGGCUGCCUGUCAACACCCACACUCGCACUGAUACUAGAAUCCACGCUCACACUUAUACACACACACACACAAACUUAUAAACACAAAACGCACAAUACUUACCCUCUUUAGCUUUCUGUCGCAAUGUUUGCCUUCAACUCCCGCGCACAGUCGCUCGCAAACCCUGCCAGACAGACACCGAUGCCACCGGAAUACGAUGUUGUGCCAUGUUUAAGGAGAUUCCAAGUCCGAAUAUGACUCUGGCUGCGUCUUAGCUGUCAAGAAACUGGAAUUGCCUUGAAGCGGACGCUGCAGAAUCCUUUAAGAAGACUAUAAAUACCCCAACCCACAGGCCAGCGUGCAUUGUACAAAUUGAUAAGCACAACAACACACAAGCACACACACACAUACACGCACACACCUAACUCUAAAACAAGCAAUUUUGACAUCAAACGUCAACGACUCACCCUGUCAAACACACACACAACACAUACAUACAUUCGGCUGUUAGCGGAUCUGGGCGUUUCCAACCGAUAGCGGUUACACAUGGGACUAUUAGACUUCUAUAAAUUGAAUUUGCACAAAUUUCAAAUCCCAAAACACGCCCCACCCAAAAAAUAAAGCCAAGUUACGCCCGCAGCCUACGCAACCUGCAUCCACAAACAAAUCCAACAAGAAAUGUAUUAAAGUCAACGGAAAAGGGUCUAAAAAACGCAAGCAGAAGUCUCGAUACUCUUUAGUUUACUUUAGUAGAUGUUAUAAUUUAAACAAAAAAGGAUACAUUUAAUAAAUAUUUUAUUUUAAUUUGAACACCAUUUUAUAU